UCCUAGCCCCGAUAGCAGCGGCAUCCUUUUUUGUGUUGCCUGAGCGCAGUCGAAGGCAUCACAAAAAAGAUACAGCGGAUAGCGGGAUCAGCU
rnacentral:sRNA from 1 species